rnacentral:lncRNA from 1 species
GGCGCUGCCGCCGCGAGGGAAUCACGUGGUUCCUUCCUUUCCGUCUCUGGCCGGCUGGGCGCGGGCAUCUGCUGGCGAGGCGCGUGGAAGCUCGCGCUAGUUCCCCUCCGCCUUCUCUCCCGGUCCAGGCCACUAGGGAGUUCGCUGACGCCGGGUGAACUGAGCGUACCGUCAAGAUGCCGGCCUAUUUCCAGAGGCCGGAAAAUGCCCUCAAGCGCGCCAACGGUGAGUAAGGCAGCGGGUCGCGCCGCGCAGGGCCGGCCCGAGGCCUGGGAGUUUCGAGGGCCUCCGCCUGCUGCCCGCAGCCCGGGCUGUGGAGGCCAGUGGUCACGGCCGCCGCCACCGGGCCGCGUCUGCGCACGGCCUCCCUACUCAAGCGGGCCGCGGCGGAAGGCGCGGAUCAGGAACCGUCGCUCUGGUGUGUGUUGAGUGGCUGCCGCCCGAGGCUUGCGUCGCAGGGCCACGGCCCAGCGGGUCAGGACUCUCGGGUCUUGCGAUUCUUCGCUACGAUCGGCCUUCUGCUGGCUUUUCAAACCCGCGGGCUGCUUGGGAAGCCCCGCGCUCCCUGCCGCCAUCUGGGAGUGCCGGGAGGAGGAAACAUGGCUCCCUCCCGGGGACAAUGCACGCGAGAACCUCCGCUCCACCUCCCGCCGGGGUCGGGAGCCGGCUAGUCUACCUUCACUCCACCUCUCGGGCACGUCUGGUUCCUGAUCCCACGCGGAGGCCUUCUGGGUCAGGGUCUACUUCCCUCACUACUAGUUUGCACUUCAGGCCUCUGCUCCAUUAACUUGUUUCCUGUGGUGUCCUCCCCCCCACCCCCCGAAAUGAUGAGGGUCAUUUCGAAAGUAUUUCGAAUCCAGUAAAGUUAGUAUUCUUUAGGGAUUUAAAAAUGAUCUACCCAGACAAGCCCUAGAAAGAGUGAUUUCCCCAAGGUCACUUGGGAGUGUCAGAAAACUAAGACCAAGGUCUCUUGAUAUCCAGAUCAGCUUUUUGUUUUUUGUUUUUUUGUUUUUCCUCCACCGCAGAGCCACUGAGUGCUAUUUCUAUUUCCAUACGUGUGCUUAAUUAAGCCUAGUGCUUGCAGGAAAGACUUGCCCGGAUCUCUGACAUUGUGUCGUGGAAAACUCGUGUGCGCAUAUCUGAUCUGACCUUUAAAAAUUGCUUUUUAUUUUUUAAAAUAAAACCUGAUAAUUCAGUAUUUGUGCCCUUUUCAACCCUUCCAGUCCAAACUGGAAAAAUAAACCAUGUAUGUUGCAGGUUUUUGUUUGGCAAGCUUGUUAGAAGUGGAAGUUACAUUUUGUGAAAAGGCCAUUUGACUCAAAACUUAUAAUAAAAGAAUACUGCUGAUAAUUUUCAGGAAUGAAGAUGUGUUGGUUACAUACAUUAAUAUUUUUUGUGGUUAGGAAGCAGUCUGGAGUAGAAUAAUAAUGCACUGUGGGUCACCCAAUACCUCUAGUACUAAUCUAUUAUUGAAAAUAGAACUAGCUAAUUUAGGACUUUUAAUGUUUUGAAACUUAGAAUUGCAUUGUGCUGUAGAAAAUGGAAUUGGAUAGACUUACUAGGUAUAGCUAUUAAUAUAUGUUUAAGUUGUAACAUUUAGCAGCAGUUACCAUAGUAGUCUAGUUAAAGCACUACAGUCUUUGGCCUACAUACAUACAUAGUAACAUGCUGACCUUAUCUUUCUCCUGUUUGGAAUCUUCAUGUGAACUUGGUUAAUAUUACAAUAAAGUUUUAAAGUAGAAAGGUU